rnacentral:rRNA from 1 species
AGAGUUUGAUCCUGGCUCAGAACGAACGCUGGCGGCGUGCCUAACACAUGCAAGUCGAGCGCGAACGCUCCUUCGGGAGUUAGUAGAGCGGCGCACGGGUGAGUAACACGUGGCUAACCUACCCUUCAGUUUGGGAUAACUCGGGGAAACUCGGGCUAAUACCGGAUACGUUCUACGGAGGAAAGUGGGGGACCCCUUUGGGGGCCUCACGCUGAAGGAUGGGGCCGCGGUCCAUCAGGUAGAUGGUGGGGUAAAGGCCUACCAUGCCGAAGACGGAUAGCUGGUCUGAGAGGAUGAUCAGCCACACUGGAAUUGAGACACGGUCCAGACUCCUACGGGAGGCAGCAGUGGGGAAUCUUGCGCAAUGGGGGAAACCCUGACGCAGCAACGCCGUGUGUGCGAUGAAGGCCCUCGGGUCGUAAAGCACUGUCAACAGGGAAGAUGGGUUCAUGCUCUAAUAGAGUAUGGGCUUGACGGUACCUGUGGAGGAAGCACCGGCUAACUCUGUGCCAGCAGCCGCGGUAAGACAGAGGGUGCAAGCGUUGUUCGGAAUUAUUGGGCGUAAAGCGCGCGUAGGCGGCGAGUUAAGUCGGAUGUGAAAGCCCGGGGCUCAACCUCGGAAGUGCAUCCGUAACUGGCUUGCUUGAAUCUUGGAGGGGGCAGUGGAAUUCCCGGUGUAGAGGUGAAAUUCGUAGAUAUCGGGAGGAACACCAGUGGCGAAGGCGACUGCCUGGACAAUGAUUGACGCUGAGGUGCGAAAGCGUGGGUAGUAAACAGGAUUUGAUACCCUGGUAGUCCACGCCGUAAACGAUGAGUACUAGGUGUUGCGGGUAUUGACCCCCGCAGUGCCGUCGCUAACGCAUUAAGUACUCCGCCUGGGAAGUACGGCCGCAAGGCUAAAACUCAAAGGAAUUGACGGGGGCCCGCACAAGCGGUGGAGUAUGUGGUUUAAUUCGACGCAACGCGCAGAACCUUACCCAGUCUUGACAUCCUUGGAAUCCCCUUGAAAGAGGGGAGUGGCCUUCGGGUCCCAGGUGACAGGUGCUGCAUGGCUUCGUCAGCCCCGUUGCGGG